CUCUUGAGUAGCGGGGACUGCAGGUGUGUACCACCACUCCUGGCUAAUAUUGUUUUUAAAUUCUUUCUGUAGAGAUGGAGUCUUGCUAUAUGGCCCAGCUGGUAAUGCCUGGAUUCUUGAGUCCCUCCCUGGCUCAUCCCUGGGAGAAGCACCGAACCCCAUGUCUGACACCUGUCCGGAAAUGGAGCCUGCACAUUGACCCUAGGCAGAUAAAGACUGAAGGCUGGGAUUCCCAUCAACCACAUCGUCCGAUCUGUGUUCUUGAGGGUGACUUGCAGUGACCCAGAAGAGAGAAACACGGCUCUCCAGGAACUGUCAGUAUGUCUUAGUUCCAUCUCCUGACAGGGGGCAAAGAGUGUGAAUAGACUAAUAAUUCAGAAACCAAAGGCAUGGCAGGAUGAUUUUUAGAGCUUAAGUAAAAACUGGCGCCAGAGUGUGCAUAGCUGCAUAUUUCCUUCCCAUAAUCACUUCUUGGCCUCAAAAAGAAACUCACUGCAGGGGCAAGACAAAUAGGUGGGCCCUGGACUUUGUCAACCCAUGAUAGAAUGAUAA
rnacentral:lncRNA from 1 species